UUUUUUUGUUUUUAUUUUUUCCCCCCAGAUGGAAAGAAGGUGUGACCUGGGGUGCAGAGGUGUGCUGGGAUGGCGAGUACGCCAGGCUGGAGCAGGGCCUCUUUAAGGCAGAAGAAGUGGGAAGUUAAGUUGAGAAAGCAGGUUAGGGUCAUUCAUUAAUUCACCAGGUGCUUCUGCGUGCAUACCUUGUCCCAGAUGCUGGCCUAGGUGCUUGUGAUACAUCUGAGCAAAUGCGACAAAGACUGCUGUCCUGUGGAAUGUUUAUAAUUGUUGAGUCAUAGAGUAUGCUAGGUGGUAAGCAUUGUGGAAGACAGAGAAGUAGGUCAGUGGGAUAAGAGAAGUGUGCCCAUUGGAUGGAGUUGUUGUUUCUAAAGAGGGCAUCAGGAGAGGCUUCCCUGAGAAGCAGUAUUUGAGUAAAAACAUAAAGGAAGUGAUGGAGUGAGAAAUCUAAGAUGGGUAGAAAUCUAAGGGAACAGCAUAGCUGGCAGGGGGAACAGCCAGGCCAAGUCCCUGUGUCCAGAGCCUGCGUGGCACGUAUGAAGGCCAUCACCGAGGCAGGCACCUCAGGACAACCCACGUUACCAGUGUCUUGUGUCUCUCUCCUGAGGUAUUCUGUGAAAACCUGGAAAAUGCACGAGCCAUUCUGUCAGGCCCGGGCUGGAAUGCUGUGUCACCUCUGAAUUCACAUUACUAAAUGGAGAGAUCGAUGAAGCCUGUAGCUGUGCCAGGAGUUGGUUAUCAAAAUGAAAUAAAGUACAACUCAGAAACUCAAGUCUUCUGCCGGGACCCACAAAACUGUGCCAGACUAACUUGUUAGCCUGCAAGGAGGGUAAAGUCUCAGAUGCUUCAGCGUUCUUGAGUUUUGGAGAUGAAGAUGUGAGACCAACAGAGACAUGGUCUUCCGGAAGAGGAAGGGUAAUGGCCUGCAGGCCAGACUGAAGAUUGAGGCAAUUCCCUGUGAUCCAGUAGUAAAUGCUCUUUCCCAGGUAUUGGGUGGGUUAUGGGAAUGAGGUCCCCCGGUAUCCUGCUUGUUAAUUAACAAUUAGAGGCUGAGCAGUGAGAGGUAGGAUUGAAACAAGCUGCCUAAAGGGUGCCCUAGUUUUUGGUCACUCUCCUCUGGCAGGUGGAAGAAGGAAUCUUAAGAUAAUGGGACAACUCUAAAGUCAGUGUGGCUGUGGCUGCUAAGCAAAAGAUUCUCAAAAACUGAAAUAAAUGGCAUCAGCAGUGA